rnacentral:tRNA from 1 species
AGCUACUUAGUUUAUAAAAAAUUUUUGUUUGUGGUACAAAAGAUGUAGUAGCUAU